rnacentral:sRNA from 1 species
CAACGUGGCGACGUUACGCCCAAUUUUCCCUGGAACUUCCUGUCGACAGAAUUCCAUGGGAUCAACGGUGCAGGAGAGAAUUAUGAUUGAUAUCAUCUAACGAAAAAUACAAUAAUAACAUUUCCGAUCCGUGGUUGGAAUAUCGUUCUCAACAGGGGUUUCACAAAUCGCCACAGCCCCUCAAAAUUCAAUCCCUUCUUGUUUUGCCUCGGCCUGUGGGGGAGCGCGCGGGGGCCAUCGUUGUCCACAGCUAAGCGACCUGGCAAGGUCGGCUCUCCGUUUGACGGUCGCUCGCAUAUCCAAAGCUCCUCCUCCUCCUCCUCCGAUGGGUAAUACAUUGGCCAGCCGUUGGCACGCUGUUCUCUCAUCGUCAUUGUUUAGAACAACACCCAUCAAGGCCCAUCAACUCCAG